rnacentral:lncRNA from 10 species
GUUCAAGGGGCAUAAACUGAGGGUACGGAGUAGGCAGAUGUAAAUUCACAGGGGAUAAUCAGAAAUGAGGAAAGGAUUUCGUAGGGUGCUCAUUUUUAAAUAGAGGCCUCACUGAAGUUGACAUUUGUGAAAAGGCUUGAAAGAGUUGAAAUAGUAGGUUGAUCAAUCAUGUAGGGAGAUCACGGGGCCCAGAAAGAAUAGGUAAGAUCUUCAGGCAGAAGCAUUCCUAGCCCUUUUCAGGAAGAGUUUGGAGACCAGUAUUCUUGAAGCACUACCAGAAAUCUCGGAGAAUGGAACAUGGCUGAAAAACUUGAAGCAGUGGAUGCGUAUUGGCCCUUACAGUUCUGCCACUUUUGUUGCCUUGUCUGUUCUUUCUCUGUGCUUUUUUUCCUUACCCUUCUGUUGAUAACUAGCCAAUCCUCUCCCUCUGUUUUCAUCUCUGAAGCCAGGAUGUAUGGUAGUAUUCGUUUUAUUGAGAUUCCCAUUUUCAUUGCCUCUAGGGAGCCUUACAGUAAGCUAUCAUGAAAAUUAAGGUAUUUACUAUUUUUUAAAUUAAUAGGACUUUCAAAAUUGCAGGUGAGGUUCAAAAUUUACAUGGAUUCUGGUUUGUCCCAUUUAGGCAUACCUUAUUCUCUCAUGUAUUUAUUAUAUAUCCAAUCCGAAAAAUGGAUUUCCCUAUGGCAAAUAGCUUUUCUAAAAAAUAAAUAAAUAAAUAAAAAGAAAGAGAAAGAUGAUGAGACCUAGAGAAUUUAGGUCUUGAAAAGCCCACACAGGUAAAAAGAAGAAGUGGCAGGAUGACUUUAACUCUGCUUUCUAUUAAAAUGUUUUUAGGGGCUUAAGAAAGGGAAAGCCUUUUCUUUUUCAUUUUUGUUGGGUACAGCUGAGGUUAGAGUUUGCCACAGUUAUCUGAAUUCCUCAAACUUAUGCCAUUUGUGGUAUAUAAUUUUGGAGAGCCACACACUCAACAUAUGUGGCUAACCUGGUCUCAUAAAUUGGCUAAGAAAAGAGAGAAAAAGAGAAGAUCAAAGGGCAUGGCAAAUUGAUUACAAUGAAUUGUGAACAACCUAAAAUGUUGCAUGUUGGGGAAAGAAUAAUUUAAAAGAGAAAAACAUAAUGGUACAAAAGAUAGGAAAAUAAGUGAUCUAGAUAAUUAAAUGUCUAUAUAAAGUCUUAGCCUCAUGACUGUUAUAUAUAUCAUAUAAAUUCUUUUCAUUUUGUUUUUCUGAAAGAUAUUUGACAACUCCUUAGUUUUAUGUAAAGGAUAAUAAAAAUAGGCAUUUAAAAGAGUUGGCAGACUGUGAUUUCCACAGAGAUAUGAGUAAAAUUUCUGAAUGUCAUUUAGGAAAAAUAUAUGAAAAACCUGGCAUUGCUGGUGUAAUUUUUUUUAAACCUUGAACAAAUUUUAGUCCAUGAAAAUUGACAUUGAUCUUAUUUUUCAGAUGUAGUAGGAAUUGGGCUCUGUCUAAAUUAACUGUCUGAGGAAUACAAUUGUUGCUGAUGCCCUAACAUUAAGGCUCAUGUAUGGUUUUUCUUACUAAGGUAAGCAGACUGGAUGCUGUGACAGUCUCCUACUCAGCCUGUUGUGCGACAGUGUUUCUUUGCUAUUGCUACCACAGGAGGCACACUGGAAUGCAGAACUUGUGCCUUUACCUAUUUCCAUUUCUAGUUUCAACUAAAAAGUAGCAAGUGUUUCUCUUCACUUCUAUUAUUUUUACUUAUUUAUUUAUGGAGAAUUUCAAAUAUAAAGAAUACAGAGAAACAUAUUUCAAAAAUUAUCAAUACAUGGCCAGUUCCCUUCUACCCUCCACCCACACCUCCAUUAGGUUUUUUUCUUCUUCUUCUUCUUCUUUUUUGAGACAAAGUCUUGCUCUGUCACCCAGACUGGAGUGCAGUGGCACAAUCUUCGCUCACUGCAACCUCCGCCUCCUGGGUUAAAGCCAUUCUCCAGCCUCAGCCUCCUGAGUAGCUGGGACUACAGGCUCAUGCCACCAUGCCCAGCUAAUUUUUGUAUUUUUAGUAGAGAUGGGGUUUCACCAUGUUGGCCAGGCUGGUCUAGAACUUGUGGCCUCAAGUGAUCCGCCUGCCUGGGCCUCCCAACUCCAUUAGUUUUAAAUCACAAUGUCCCUGCUACUAAAUGAAGAUAUUUCAAACAAGAACAAACCAACUAACCAGACAGAACCUAUUCUUCCUAGAAGACAUAGGGAAAUUCACAGCUUGUUGACAAAGAUAUCACUAUUUCAUUAGACACUACUCAGAAGUGAAAUGUUAAGAAAUAUUUCAAUGACUUUUAAAAGUAAAUACAAUCUCUUUUAUUGUGCUGCAGUUGUUAAAUUGUGCUAUGGUAUGUACUUGUAGACAAAUUCCAAAUAUUUUGACUUGCAGGCAUUACCUGUAAACUAAGGGUUACCAAUCAGAGAUUAGGUGAUGCCAAGCAGGUGUCAUCUGUUUGGCCACCACAGAAAUGUCCUGUACUUAUCCACGUGCUAUUCCAAAAUUUCCCAUAAGAGUAUUAGGAUUUCCUUUCUCUUGCUUCAGGACAGUCUUCCUUCUUUGCGGUCUACCUAGUGAUCUUAAUGUUUAGGGAAAAAUAAAAGUAAAAAGGUCAUAUUGCCUGAUCUUAGGAGAAAAGGAAGAAAAGGGGAAUUAAAAGGUUGUGGGAGUGACCAGUAAAUAUGUUUGCAACUGAAAUAAUUUUGCAGUCUAAUAUAAAACAUCUUAUAAAGUGGCCAGAUUAAUUUGUAGUCCUCAUUUCCCAAACACAUCAGCAUACUCACGUUCACACCAUUUCUGAUUGCAGGGCCACUCACACACACACACACACACACAAAAGGGAUAGAAGAGACCAAACCACAUCUAUGCUCACAAAAACACACAAUAUCUUUCUUACUUUAAAAUCUAACAUAAAACUGUAUGCCUUCAGCUACUGACAUGGAUUCGUGACAUUUAAAAUACAGCUUUACAAUGAGUAUUUAAUAACCCUUUGCAAUUGUAUUUGGUUAAUACACAAUUAACAAAUUUGUAUUUGCAGCAUUGGCUGCAAAAUCCUUUCUUAGUUUUAUUCUCAGAUGUCAAGUUACAACUAAGAGAAGAAAAGGAGUCGCCUGAAGCAAGUACCUGGUUUCUAGAAAAUAGAAUACUACUAAAGGAAAAGAAAUAAGAAGAAGAAAUAGCAUUUAAAAAAUAUCGUUGAUCUAUAUGUGACCCCCUCAAAAUUGAAAUGUUUUUUAUUUUGCUUUAAGACUAUUUCAAAUUAAGGCAUAAAGAAGACAUGACAACAUACUAAAGAGAAAAUCCUAUAAAGCCAUCUUCAAUUCAGCAAAAAUUAGUAAAUCACUAUACACAAGGCCUAGUACUAAUUGUUAGGUGGUAGUGAUACGGUGAUGGGGUCACAAAAAUGACUAUCUCAUAGUUCUUGUCCCAGGAUCCUUGGACUAUAGUAGAAUUAUGGCAUGUACGAAUACAAUCCCCUCUCAAUGACAGUAACCUUGGAUAGGGCUGACACACACUCUCUCCUUUGACCAAAACUUUAAUCAGGCUUUUCUCUGAGUCCUCUGCUUGACUAAGCCUGAUCUUGGGCUUUCCUCUCUAUUCUAGUACAGAUGCUUCUCGACUUAGGAUGAAGUUACGAUGCAAAAAAAAAAAACAAAAAACCCAUCAUAAGUUGAAAAUAUUCCAAGUGGAAAGUGCACUUAAUAUAGCUAACCUAUUGAACAUCAUGGCUUGGCCUAGCCUACCUUAAACAUGGUCCUUGUGACCGCAUGGUUGACUGAGAGCUGCGGCUCACUGCCACUGCCCAGCAUCAGGAGCGGGUUUGUAUUGUAAAUCACUCGCCCGGGAAAAGAUCAAAAUUCAAAACUGGAAGUGUUUCCAUUGAAUACAUACGGCUUUCGCACCAUCAUAAAAUCAAAUCAUUGUAAGUUGGAGACCAUCUGUAGAAUCCAGUUGGAACAAGAAUCCUGACACGUCACAUUAAUGAAUAUCCCCCACCCUUGGUAUCAGACCACCCUCAAUAUCUUAUCACCCUGACCUGCCUUCAGCAAUAAUCCUAUCAGGUCAGUUUAGCCAGAAAUCCUUUAUCCUUGGUGUUUCCUCUUAGUAAUUUUCCAUCCAUUGCUCCCCAACCUGCUUCUUGGUUAUAAAUUCCCACUUGUCCUUAUUGGAGUUAGAAUUGAGUCCAAUCUCACUCCCCCACUGCAAGACCUUACUGCAGUGGUCCCGAAACCUGUCUCCAUAGCUGACUUUGAAAAGGUCUGUCUCACCAUUCUUCAUUAAUAAAGUGUCAUUAAUAAAGCAUUUUUGAGAAAGUCACUUCAACCUAUCUUGCCCUAAGUUUCAUCUCUUGCAUAGUGAAGAAAAUAGUUGUAGCUACCUCAUAAGGUGGUUGUGAGGAUUAAAUUAGUUAAUACAUGUGAAGAUAUAGCAGACUGGCUGGCUUCCAUAAAAUGUUUUAAAUUGUUAAUUAUUACUUCAUUGACACAUGGCAUAGGCUAAUUGGAAGAUACAACAUUUUUGUGAAUUUGUAUUGAUGCUGAUGGAGAGGGCACUGUUGGUGGAUAGGAUUUGCUUGAGUAAAGGCAAAAGGGCACAAUGUGCAGGGUGUGUCUAAAGACUAGGAAGUAGAAUAGCUUGAUUGAUUGGAGAAUAAGAGGGCUUUGAAUGUCAAAAUUUUUCAAUUGGCGAAUGAAAUGAUCAGAGUUGCAUUACUUUAAUCUGGAAAUUAUUUGUGACUCUUUUGAUAGUGAGGACUUUAUAAAGCCAUCAUUAAAAUAAUUGAAAUAGAACAGGGGAUUAAGUCUAUAAGUGAUACCCAAAUGCCUGUGUUGUUGAACUAGCUACAUGAGAUUCAGGAUUAUAAAGAGGAAUUCCUCACUAUGUCUCCAGAUAGAGAGAUAGGUAGUAUAUCAUGUAUAUCACACCACAUAUGCUCUAUGAGAUGUAACCAAUCCAUAUAAUAUAUUUUUGUGUGAAAUUAUGAAGUAGGGCC